UUGAAGAGAGAGUUCACAGGGCGUGAAACCGCUUGGAAGUAAACGGAGGAAGCUGGCAGAAGCCUGCAGAAUUCAACUUGUACUUGUGGUGUUCCGCGUUCGGUUGCCGAUCUUACGACGGUAGUCAACGUAGUCGCUGCAGUAUGAGUGCACUUUCUGUAGGUGCGCGCCACGACCGCUUAGCACGCCGGCUAAAGGCUAGCAGAUUGCCGACUGUGACUUCGGUUGCAGAGCCCCGUCUGCGAGUACUCAUAGUCCGGGUUGUGCUGAGCGAGCAACGACCGCACCCGCUUGUCUCAAGGUGCGCCGUUUGCGACGGGGUCGGACUUUUGUGACUUGCUUGCAAGUCUCAGUGACUCCCGCGUUGCAGAACGGUGUUUACUUGAGUGGUGCAUAUGGUCAGUGGCGUCCGAGUCAGCCUCUCUUCCGACCCGUCUUGAAACACGGACCAAGGAGUCUAGCAUGUGCGCAAGUCAUUGGGCGGCAAACCCAACGGCGCAAUGAAAGUAAAGGUCAGCCUUGCGUUGACUGCGGUAGGAUCACUGGUACUCGUGACUGGGUGCGCACUACCAUCCCGUUCCAUCUACUUCGUUAGAGGUGCGGAGAUCGAGCGUACACGCUAGGACCCGAAAGAUGGUGAACUAUGCCUGAGCAGGAUGAAGUCAGAGGAAACUCUGAUGGAAGUCCGUAGCGGUUCUGACGUGCAA
rnacentral:rRNA from 1 species